GAUGAACGCUGGCGGCGUGCCUAAUACAUGCAAGUCGAGCGAACAGACGAGGAGCUUGCUCCUCUGACGUUAGCGGCGGACGGGUGAGUAACACGUGGAUAACCUACCUAUAAGACUGGGAUAACUUCGGGAAACCGGAGCUAAUACCGGAUAAUAUAUUGAACCGCAUGGUUCAAUAGUGAAAGACGGUUUUGCUGUCACUUAUAGAUGGAUCCGCGCCGCAUUAGCUAGUUGGUAAGGUAACGGCUUACCAAGGCAACGAUGCGUAGCCGACCUGAGAGGGUGAUCGGCCACACUGGAACUGAGACACGGUCCAGACUCCUACGGGAGGCAGCAGUAGGGAAUCUUCCGCAAUGGGCGAAAGCUUGACGGAGCAACGCCGCGUGAGUGAUGAAGGUCUUCGGAUCGUAAAACUCUGUUAUUAGGGAAGAACAAAUGUGUAAGUAACUAUGCACGUCUUGACGGUACCUAAUCAGAAAGCCACGUCUAACUACGUG
rnacentral:rRNA from 1 species